CGGGCUGCAAUGGAGACGCGAAGAGGCGGGUGGUUGCGGCGUCAGGCCGAGUGUUUGUUGCCGUCCCUGAUCGCCCUUCAGCUGUGUGUCCCGUGGGGGUAACACCCCCCCAUCCUUCUUCUCUUCUUCCCUUUCCUAGCCUCCUACCCUUUUUUUCCCUCUCUCCUUACCUUUGACCCAUCCCCCGGUGGAUCUGCUCUCCCCUCCUUCCCUGCACCUGCCCGUCACUAUCUCUAACCUGCAUCCACCUAUCACCACCCUGUGCCCACCCCGCCUCCCCUCUUUUGUCCACCUAUCACUGCUCUGCUUUUCACUCCUAUAUAUUGGGCUUCGCCUUUUCCUAUCUUCAGUCCUGAAGAAGGGUCCUGACCUGAAACAUUUUCUCCACGGAUGCUGCCUGACCUGCUGAGUUCCUCCAGCAUCAUCGUGUUUUUCAUCAAGAUUCCGAUAUAAUUUGAGGUGAAAGCCAUGAUUUAACUGCAGAAAAUUAUUACAAUCCGAGACCAUGUUAUUCGGGAGGAAGAGGAGAGAAAACAGACCUUGCACGUCACCACUAAAGAACAGGAGGAUUUUGUGAUCAGGAAUUUGGUGAGUGUGGGGAAAAGUGCUGCUUUUGUCUCUCCAAUACUUGGUGUUUCAUUAACUUCAAACAGGAAAUAUUUAAUUAAGUGAAAAUCAAAAAACUGCCCGCCCUUUGUUUUAUGCACAGAGUCCUCCAGAUGUCUCUGUAACUGCAACAUUGUGUAGUCUCCAUUCAUUUAAAUAGUAAUUCACUUUAUCAUUCUUCCUUUCUCAUGAUUUUCCCACAUUGUAAUUUAUCUGCCAACCACUUGCCCACUCACCUACUGUAUCUACAUCCCUUUGCCAGCCCUGUGUUGUCCUCACAGCUUGCUUACCCGACUAUCCAUGUAACAGAGGCAAACUUGGCUAUAGAACACUCAUAUUAAUACAAAUUAUAAAUAGUUGAGACCCCAGCACUGAUCCCUGUGGCACCCCACUAGUUACUGACUGCCAAUCCAAAAGUGACCCAUUUAUCUUGGCUCUGUUAGUUAGUCAAUCCUCCAUCCAUGCCAAUAAAUUACCCCCAGUCACUCACACUCCUGUGCACCACUGUUUUAUGUGGCAUGUUAUUGAAUACCUUCCUGAAAUCCAAAUACUAGAUCUUCUAGUUCUUCUUUAUGCACCCUGUGUGUUACAUCCUUUAAGCAUUCUAGAUUUGGAGAGGUAAGUACGAGAGGACAUGGCUUUAGGGUGAAAGGGGAAAGGUUUAGGGGGAACAUUAGGGGGGAAACUUCUUCACUCGGAGAGUGGUGGGAGUGUGGAACGGGCUACCAUCUGACGUGGUAAAUGCGGGCUCACUCAAGUUUUAAGAAUAAAUUGGAUGGAUACAUGGAUGGGAGAGGUCUGGAGGGUUAUGGACUGGGUGCAGGUCAAUGGGACUAGCAGAAUAAAGUUUCGGCACAGACUAGAGGGGCCAAGUGGCCUGUUUUCUGUGCUGUAGUGUUCUAUGGUUCUACAGAAUGUGUCAAAUAUGCUUUCCCCUUCACAAGACAUCAUAGAGUCAACGUUUUUAUUGACUUUGUAAAUGUCCUGCUGUUACCUCCUUCAUAAUGGAUUCCAGCAUUUCCCCAAUGGCAGCUGUGAGCUUAAAUGACCUAUGUAUUAAGGGUUGGCUUAGUGGAGAUGUUUAAAGUAAUUAAAUGAUUUGUACAAAGGACAUAGGAACCAUUUCCUUUGUUGGGAGAGGAAGGAGCAAGUGGGCAUAACCUUACAAGUUAGAGUAGGAGUGAAGUCAGGAAGUACUUCACAAAAAGUGCUGGAAAUCUCUCUCCAUUUCACAAAAAAAAGUUGAGGCUUUGUCAAUGGAAAAAAAAAUGAGAUUGAUAGAUAUUUGCUUAACAAGAGCAUGAAUGGUUAUGGAACCAAGGUGAGUAGACAGUUCCUGUUCUUCUAAGAACAUUACAUUUGUCAAAUAUAAAAGAUGAAAAUAUGGAUUUAUACAGAAGGCAAGCUGAAGGUUGGAGUAGGUUAUGUUAGGAGGUACAAAAGCCAAACACUGGAGAUGCUGGAAUCAUGAAAAGCACGAGAAAAUUUUGUAAACAAGUCAGGCAGUUGUUCUGAUGAAGAGCUAUUGAUCUGAAAUGAUGACUGUUAAUGCCUGCCCCACGGAGUGUUUCCAGCAUUUUCUGUUUUAGUUCGGGCAGCAUCUGCACGAAGGUAUAAAACACAAUAUUUCAGAUCAGAGCUUUCACUAGGACCACUGAAUUGAAACAAUGAGAUCUUUCAGGAUAGCCCCAGGUUUGGUAUUUCACCAGGAGCCUGGCUCCCAGCAUGUUGACAUGGUGGCAUCAUUGGGGUUAUCUCAGCAGGGAUGGCCAACUGCACCCAGAGAAGGACUUUAAUAGUUCAUGGGUUCCACCCCCAGCAUAGCAGCUGACAAAGCUGUAACUGAACUUGUAUUUCGUCUUAAGAUUCAAACAUUCAAAAUCACUCAGGAUCUAUUCAAAAAGUUAUGACUAGAUAACAUACAGACUUAAAAACAAUUAUAAAGAUUUAAACCAACAUUAAUUAAAAAGGUUUACUUAACUUUUCCCUGGCAGGUGAUUUCUCCUAUUCAUAUGGGAAUCACUGGUGUACUUGCUCCAGGUUUACUCAGAGCUGACAAGUCUGCAGACAGUCCAUGGAGGCCAGGUGCAGACAGUGGUACUGGACUAAGGAGUUCCGCUGAAAAAUGCAGGCAAUUCCUGGCAUCAGGAUGGAUGAUCUGCUUUCCGCUCAGACACGACCUGACCUACUAAAUGUUUCCAAAAGCUGAUAUCCUGGAGGGGAAUGAUAACUGUCAGUGUACAGUGGCUGCAGUUUGCAGCAUGGAAAAGAUACACCCCAGCAAAUCACUGAGGUUUCCAAAUGCAUAACCUCAAGUAUUCAAAGGGACAAAAGCGGGUCAACAGGGAAUACUAUCAGGUGGAAGUUAAGUCACACACAUUUCUGGUUUGGUUGUACUGGAAUGAAAUUCUGGAAUACCCCAAAUAUUGUGGAAACACCAACAUAUGGACUGCAUCAGUUCAAGGCUAAAUCCACACCACCCUUGCAAGGGAAUCAGGAAGAGGAAA